rnacentral:misc_RNA from 1 species
UCCCCGUUACCGGGGCAGUCUGAAUAGAAAAAUCCAACUAUUCAUAAGGGUUGCGCUCGUUGAUGGACUUAACCAAACAUCUCACGACACGAGCUGACGACGGCCAUGCAACACCUGUCACUGCGUUCCCCCAACAACACACAAAUAUUACUUUAUGUGCUCUUGGGGCACUUUUUCCUUUCGGAAAAAUUCGCAGGAUGUCAAACCCUGGUAAGGUUCUUCGCUUAGCCUCGAAUUAAACAACACGCUCCACCGCUUGUGCGGGUCCCCGUCAAUUCCUUUGAGUUUUAAUCUUGCGACCGUACUCCCCAGGCGGGAUACUUAACGCGUUAGCUUCGUUACUGACCGGGUCGAUACGGCCAACAACUAGUAUCCAUCGUUUACAGCGUGGACUAC